GCACGGGUGAGUAACACGUGACUAACCUACCCUGGAGUGGGGGAUAACUGAGGGAAACCUUAGCUAAUACCGCAUAAUACCUACGGGUCAAAGGAGCAAUUCGCUUUGGGAGGGGGUCGCGGCGAUUAGUUAGUUGGCGGGGUAAUGGCCCACCAAGACAGUGAUCGGUAUCCGGCCUGAGAGGGCGCACGGACACACUGGAACUGAAACACGGUCCAGACUCCUACGGGAGGCAGCAGUGGGGAAUUUUGCGCAAUGGGGGAAACCCUGACGCAGCAACGCCGCGUGGAGGAUGAAGUCCUUCGGGACGUAAACUCCUUUCGAUCGGGACGAUAAUGACGGUACCGGAAGAAGAAGCCCCGGCUAACUUCGUGCCAGCAGCCGCGGUAAUACGAGGGGGGCAAGCGUUGUUCGGAAUUAUUGGGCGUAAAGGGAGUGUAGGCGGUUUGGUAAGUCGUGUGUGAAAUCUUCGGGCUCAACCCGAAGUCUGCACACGAAACUGCCGGGCUUGAGUAUGGGAGAGGUGAGUGGAAUUCCUGGUGUAGCGGUGAAAUGCGUAGAUAUCAGGAGGAACACCUGUG
rnacentral:rRNA from 1 species